rnacentral:rRNA from 1 species
AGGUUGGCUCAGAAGCAGCCAUCCUUUAAAGAGUGCGUAACAGCUCACUAGUCGAAUGACUCUGCGCCGAUAAUUUACCGGGGCUAAGCAUACUACCGAAGCUAUGGAUCCCAAGGGAUGGUAGGGGAGCGUUCCAUGAACGGAGAAGUACGACCGAAAGGACGUGUGGAGAUCAUGGAAGAGAGAAUGCCGGUGUGAGUAGCGGAACGUGGGUGAGAAUCCCACGCACCGAAAACCCAAGGUUUCCAGAGGAAGGUUCGUCCGCUCUGGGUAAGUCGGGACCUAAGGCGAGGCCGAGAGGCGUAGUCGAUGGACAACAGGUAGAGAUUCCUGUACUCAUAUAUAUGUGAAGGAAUGACGGAGAGAGGAAGCUGCAGCCAGCGGCUGGAAGAGCUGGUGCAAGCGAGAUAUCGGGAUGGCAGGCAAAUCCACCAUCCGAAACGAGAAGGCGUGAAGCGUACGGAAAGCUACGGCGAGUACGGAAGGCAGUGGAGGAACUUCCAAGAAAAGUUUCUAACGUUAAGUAUAUAUGGCCCGUACCGAAAAUGGACACACAUGGGUGAGGAGAGAAUCCUAAGGUGAGCGAGAGAACUAUAGCUAAGGAACUCUGCAAAAUGACUCCGUAACUUAGGGAGAAGGAGUGCUCAUAGAGAUAUGAGCCGCAGUGAAACGGCCCAAGCGACUGUUUACCAAAAACACAGCUCUCUGCUAAGCCGCAAGGCGAAGUAUAGGGGGUGACGCCUGCCCGGUGCUGGAAGGUUAAGGGGAGGGGUUAACGCAAGUGAAGCCCUGAACUGAAGCCCCAGUAAACGGCGGCCGUAACUAUAACGGUCCUAAGGUAGCGAAAUUCCUUGUCAGGUAAGUUCUGACCCGCACGAAAGGCGUAACGAUUUGGGCGCUGUCUCAGCUGUAGACUCGGUGAAGUCUUAGUACCUGUGAAGAUGCAGGUUACCCGCGACUAGACGGAAAGACCCCAUGGAGCUUCACUGCAGGUUGAUAUUGGGAUUUGAUGCAGCAUGUACAGGAUAGGUAGGAGGCAAAGAGAUGGAUACGCCAGUAUUCAAGGAGCCGCUGUUGGGAUACUACCCCUGUUGUAUUGGAUUUCUAACCGGACGACGUAGAGCCGUUGACGGGACAGUGUCAGUCGGGCAGUUUGACUGGGGCGGUCGCCUCCCAAAGAGUAACGGAGGCGCCCAAAGAUACCCUCAGCUUGGAUGGAAACCAAGCGCAGAGUGCAAAGGCAAAAGGGUGUUUGACUGCGAGACC